rnacentral:rRNA from 1 species
GAUGAACGCUGGCUACAGGCUUAACACAUGCAAGUCGAGGGGAAACGACGGGGAAGCUUGCUUCCCCGGGCGUCGACCGGCGCACGGGUGAGUAACGCGUAUCCAACCUGCCUCUGACUGAGGGAUAACCCGUCGAAAGUCGGCCUAAUACCUCAUGGCAUCGUCUGCGGGCAUCCAACGACGAUUAAAGAUUUCAUCGGUCAGGGAUGGGGAUGCGUCUGAUUAGCUUGUUGGCGGGGUAACGGCCCACCAAGGCUACGAUCAGUAGGGGUUCUGAGAGGAAGGUCCCCCACAUUGGAACUGAGACACGGUCCAAACUCCUACGGGAGGCAGCAGUGAGGAAUAUUGGUCAAUGGGCGAGAGCCUGAACCAGCCAAGUAGCGUGCAGGAUGACGGCCCUAUGGGUUGUAAACUACUUUUAUGCGGGGAUAAAGUGAGGGACGUGUCCUUCAUUGCAGGUACCGCAUGAAUAAGGACCGGCUAAUUCCGUGCCAGCAGCCGCGGUAAUACGGAAGGUCCGGGCGUUAUCCGGAUUUAUUGGGUUUAAAGGGAGCGUAGGCCGUGGAUUAAGCGUGUUGUGAAAUGCAGGUGCUCAACGUCUGCACUGCAGCGCGAACUGGUCCACUUGAGUGUGCGCAACGCAGGCGGAAUUCGUCGUGUAGCGGUGAAAUGCUUAGAUAUGACGAAGAACUCCGAUUGCGAAGGCAGCUUGCGGGAGCACAACUGACGCUGAAGCUCGAAAGUGCGGGUAUCGAACAGG